rnacentral:lncRNA from 12 species
UGUGGGGUAGGAGGCUCUCGGCUUGUCCCACCAAUCCUAAGAUCAUCCAUCAGAAUUCGGUGAUGUUAAUGCCUUCUAAGAAGUAUAUAUUUUAAGACCCGAGUAUUACCCAAUGGCCACUCCAGUCUCUGGAAUUCCUCUUCUGGCUUCUACGCAUAGGGCCGGUGGUUUGAUUCUCAAGGUCAUUACCUGAGGACUCUGCAGCCGUGAGAUCACUUGAGUCAAGCUGGAUGCUGAUUCAUCCCAAGGGAGCAAGUAAAUGGAUGUGGAUCCUACCUUUGGUUUUCUCAAUUCUGCUAAGGCCAGAGGAGCUCCGAGGCACUGAUUUGGGGGAACCUGGACAUUGUGGUUGUUCAAAGGACAACUAUGAAUCCCUUCUAUCAUCUUCUUCACUAUGGAUUUUAGAGAGGGUCAGGCUAAGAGCCUGGAUAUGCGCGAUUGUUUGCCAAAUAAUUGGUGCUUCCAGUGGAGGGAGAAGAGGGAGAAAGCAAAAUUUGCAAAGGAUAAUUUACCAGCCAACUAAAUCGUUUUACUGGCCUAUCACACUUCUCAACCCGACAGAGAGCAAAAGUAAAUACAAUCAGUCUUGUGUUGCACCAUCGGAAAUUUAUGAUGACCCCAGGCAAGUAGCUUUCUGCAAGACUAAUUUAUGUAUAGUCACAUCUGUCACUGUGGCACUUGGACACGUCUUAGGUUUUUUUAUUAGUUAUUCCUGGUAACAACCCAGUGAGAUCACAAGGUAAGUUAGAUACACCCUUUCUUAAGAGGCCUCUGAAAUUCAUUAGAUGCCCACAUUUUGAGACUCAGCCUUCAAGUCAGGAGCAUGGUCCAGACCAUAGAUCAGAAUAAUCUCGAGUCCUAAGACUCAGAAUCUCUGCCAGGCCCAAAUUCAUUAUUCUGCUUAUUCAUUUCUUCCCCUACAAUAAACACUGUAGCCCAGAGAGGAAUUCA